CGGCAGCCGCCGCCGGGAAUACCCGCAGCCCAAGUGGUGGUCGAUUUAUUGAAGUCUAAAACGUUCGUAGCCGGUUGGUAAAUCCUUGGGUAAAUCGAGAGGCUAACUUUCGAAUUCCGAGGAGACUGCCAAACUUGGGACCGGGAGAGGCGAGAGGUACGUUCUGGGGUAGGGGUAAAAGUACCUGUAAUCCUAGAAGGACCACCGGUGGCGAAGGCGUCUCGCUAGAACGGAUCCGACGGUGAGGGACGAAGCCCUGGGUCGCAAACGGGAUUAGAUACCCCGGUAGUCCAGGGUGUAAACGCUGCAGACUUGGUGUUGGGGGCCCUACGGGGGCGUUCAGUGCCGGAGAGAAGUUGUUAAGUCUGCUACUUGGGGAGUACGUCCGCAAGGAUGAAACUUAAAGGAAUUGGCGGGGGAGCACCGCAAACCGGGAGGAGCGUGCGGUUUAAUUGGAUUCAACACCGGAAAACUCACCAGCGGCGACUGUUACAUGAAAGUCAGGCCGAUGACCUUACUAGAUUUUCAGAGAGGAGUGGUGCAUGG
rnacentral:rRNA from 1 species